rnacentral:rRNA from 1 species
UACAGAGGUCUCAAGCGUUGUUCGGAUUCAUUGGGCGUAAAGGGUGUGUAGGUGGCGCCGUAAGUCGGGUGUGAAAUUUCGGAGCUUAACUCCGAAACUGCAUUCGAUACUGCGGUGCUUGAGGACUGGAGAGGAGACUGGAAUUCAUGGUGUAGCAGUGAAAUGGCGUAGAGAUCAUGAGGAAGACCAGUGGCGAAGGCGGGUCUCUGGACAGUUCCUGACACUGAGACACGAAGGCCAGGGGAGCAAACGGG